rnacentral:rRNA from 1 species
AACGAACGCUGGCGGCAGGCCUAACACAUGCAAGUCGAGCGCCCCGCAAGGGGAGCGGCGGACGGGUGAGUAACACGUGGGAAUUUUCCUCAAGGUACGGAACAACUCAGGGAAACUUGGGCUAAUACCGUAUGAUGCAGAGAUGCCAAAGAUUUAUCGCCUUGGGAUAAGCCCGCGUCAGAUUAGGUAGUUGGUGGGGUAAUGGCCUACCAAGCCUGUGAUCUGUAGCUGGUCUGAGAGGACGAUCAGCCACAUUGGGACUGAGACACGGCCCAAACUCCUACGGGAGGCAGCAGUGGGGAAUCUUGCGCAAUGGGCGAAAGCCUGACGCAGCCAUGCCGCGUGAAUGAUGAAGGUCUUAGGAUUGUAAAGUUCUUUAGCCUGUGACGAUGAUGACGGUAACAGGAGAAUAAGCCCCGGCUAACUUCGUGCCAGCAGCCGCGGUAAAAAGUGUGUGUA